UCUAUGGAGAACUGUUAGUUAAGGUUACUUAGGUAAUCUUAACUAACCAGCGAUUCGUUUUUCUACUGUUUAAUUUUGAAGGACCAAAAAGCUUACAGAAUGUAAGCCUUUUGAAUCCUUAGUUCUUUGAAAACUGCACAACGAAUAAAAAGCAAAGGUAAAACACUGCGAAAGAAAAGAAAACAAUUUU
rnacentral:misc_RNA from 1 species